AUCAUGAUGUUGAAGAACUAGAAAAAUUUGCCAAAGUGAAUCUCCUACAGCACAGAUCUAUAAUUUCACCAUUGGAAAUGUUUAGAUGUCCUCACUUGUAAUGGAGAAGGUUUAAGGCUCAAAGCAAGGAAUUAGGGGAUUUAUCAACAUACAUUGCAUUCUUCUUUCAUCCAUCAAGAUUAAGAUUUUAUAGGGUGCUUCUUUAGUGGCGCUAUUUUGGUUAGCCAUGAAGUACUACUUGUGCUAGCAGAAGGCAUCUUAGUCAAGCUGUGUAUGUGGUCUCUACUUGAGAUUUCUCAUCUUUAAGUUAAUCAGGACUUAUUACUGGUGGAGUGGUGGUGGUAUAGGACCUUAAAAUUAAUUUUUGACCGUGACAGUAUUUGCUAUUGCAGAACGAUUGGUUCUUGCAGGGUUUAGGAUCAAGGAGACAAGAACUUGGGAUUCCUUAUUUUGAUUAUCGAUUUUUGCUGUAAGUCAAUCAAUUCGCUAUUUGCUGUAAUUUUGGGCAAUUGGAUGAUUGUGUCUGAUCCUCUUCCUCCCACUUGCCUUGGUACUGUACUUUGGAUUCAAUCAAACGGGUAAAUUUUCUGAUCUAAA